rnacentral:rRNA from 1 species
AAAACAUAGCUCCCUGAAAAAAUAGGGGGUCCAGCCUGCCCAGUGGUCCAAAACUAAACGGCCGCGGUAUCUUGACCGUGCAAAGGUAGCAUAAUCACUUGUCUUUUAAAUGAAGACUCGUAUGAACGGAAUAACCUUUCUUAACUGUCUCCCUUACUCCCCUCUGAAACUCAUACUUAGGCGAAGAAUCCUAAAUUGUACAGAAAGACGAGAAGACCCUGUCGAGCUUCAGCUAAAGAGGAAUUUGAAAAACCUUAAUGUCCUACUACAGCUUUGGUUGGGGCAACCACGGAGAACAAGAAUCCUCCGGGAAUUGUGGAAGACCAUUCACUUCUCCACUCCAUAAAAAAGAACCAGAAUCUGAAAAACGGAAAAAGUUACCGCAGGGAUAACAGCGUUAUCUCCUCUAAGAGUCCAUAUUGACGAGGAGGGUUGCGACCUCGAUGUUGGAUUGGGGCACCCCUAGGGUGCAGAAGCUCUGAAAGGUCGGACUGUUCGUCCGUUAAAGCCCUACGUGAUCU